UCCUGGCUUAGGAUGAACGCUAGCGGCAGGCUUAACACAUGCAAGUCGAGGGGCAGCGGGAUGUAGCAAUACAUUGCCGGCGACCGGCGGAUGGGUGCGUAACGCGUAUGCAACCUACCUUAUACAGGGGAAUAACCUUUCGAAAGGGAGACUAACACCCCAUGGUAUUGAUUUAAGGCAUCUUAGAUUAAUUAAAUAUUUAUAGGUAUAAGAUGGGCAUGCGUAUGAUUAGCUAGUUGGUAAGGUAACGGCUUACCAAGGCGACGAUCAUUAGGGGUUCUGAGAGGAAGGUCCCCCACACUGGUACUGAGACACGGACCAGACUCCUACGGGAGGCAGCAGUGAGGAAUAUUGGUCAAUGGGCGCAAGCCUGAACCAGCCAUGCCGCGUGCAAGGAAGACGGCCUUAUGGGUUGUAAACUGCUUUUACAUAAGACUAACCGUAUAUUUGCGAAUAUACCUGAAUGUAUUAUGAGAAUAAGGAUCGGCUAACUCCGUGCCAGCCGCCGC
rnacentral:rRNA from 1 species